rfam:Triticum urartu cultivar G1812 contig924915, whole genome shotgun sequence.
AAAGUACUCUCUCCGUUCCAAAUUAUUUGUCGUAGAAAUGGAUGUAUCUAGAACUAAAAUACAUCUAAAUACAUUCAUUUUUGUGACGAGUAAUUCGGAACGGAGGGAGUAUGUG